rnacentral:lncRNA from 1 species
ACAAUAGCGACUCACUGGACCCAGCCCUUAGCAACGGCCUGGCAACGGUUUCCCUGCUGCUGCAGCCCCCGUCGGCUCCUCUUUUCCAGUCCUCCACUGCCGGGGCUGGGCCCGGCCGCGGGAAGGACCGAAGGGGAUACAGCGUGUCCCUGCGGCGGCUGCAAGAGGACUAAGCAUGGAUGGCAGCCGGAGAGUCAGAGCAACCUCUGUCCUUCCCAGAUAUGGUCCACCGUGCCUAUUUAAAGGACACUUGAGCACCAAAAGUAAUGCUGCAGUAGACUGCUCGGUUCCAGUAAGCGUGAGUACCAGCAUAAAGUGUCUAGAAGUACUUGUAUGAAUCUGGGUGCUCCAGUGUUGGGUGCAAAUAUACCUAGGAUAGAUGCAGACCAACAACGAAGAGAGAAACUCAAAAAGGAAUUAGCACAAUGUGAAAAAGAGUUCAAAUUAACUAAAACUGCAAUGCGAGCCAAUUAUAAAAAUAAUUCCAAGUCACUUUUUAAUACCUUACAAAAGCCCUCAGGCGAACCGCAAAUUGAGGAUGACAUGUUAAAAGAAGAAAUGAAUGGAUUUUCAUCCUUUGCAAGGUCACUAGUACCCUCUUCAGAGAGACUACACCUAAGUCUACAUAAAUCCAGUAAAGUCAUCACAAAUGGUCCUGAGAAGAACUCCAGUUCCUCCCCGUCCAGUGUGGAUUAUGCAGCCUCCGGGCCCCGGAAACUGAGCUCUGGAGCCCUGUAUGGCAGAAGGCCCAGAAGCACAUUCCCAAAUUCCCACCGGUUUCAGUUA